rnacentral:misc_RNA from 1 species
GUCUUGAAAAGUUGCAAGUUCAGGCCCUCAAAGAAACUACGCAAUGCAAAAAAAUACAUGAGGGAAGAACCGUCGCAAGCUUCCCCUCCCAGGACCAAAGGAUACCAGUUCAAUGGGACAGUAACCCAUGCAGCAUAGAAAAGGAAAUGCAGAAAUGGAUAAAGUAGAAAACAGACACUAGGAAAUGGCAUUUUCCAAAAAUGUAGAAAACUAAAAUGUUGGGGGGGAACAUGUAAAUAUAAAAAAAUACAGG